UGGUGGUUACUGGUGAAGCUUCCCUAUACUGGCUGCUACACAGCAAUUCAGACUGGAGAUGGAAAUGAUUUCCACCCAUUGAAACUGCAUUAUUUUGACCGUCUGCGGCAGGAGAACGUGACAGGCAUGGCUAUCUGCGAUAAUCCAGUAAUGUCACCACAAGCAGCGGCACCGUUGGUGACUUGUAGAACAACACAUGUCGCUGUGAAGCUGCCUCGUAAAACCGAACUGAGAAAAGUGAAAGAGCUUGAUUUUUUCACUAGCGAAGGAUACUCAGUGAGACAACAGAAGACCUCC